GACGAACGCUGGCGGCGUGCUUAACACAUGCAAGUCGAGCGGUAAGGCCCCUUCGGGGGUACACGAGCGGCGAACGGGUGAGUAACACGUGAGCAAUCUGCCCUUCACACGGGGAUAACUUCGGGAAACCGGAGCUAAUACCCGAUACGACCACCUCGGGCAUCCGAUGGUGGUGGAAAGCUCCGGCGGUGAAGGAUGAGCUCGCGGCCUAUCAGCUUGUUGGUGGGGUAACGGCCCACCAAGGCAACGACGGGUAGCCGGCCUGAGAGGGUGACCGGCCACACUGGGACUGAGACACGGCCCAGACUCCUACGGGAGGCAGCAGUGGGGAAUAUUGGACAAUGGGCGAAAGCCUGAUCCAGCAACGCCGCGUGAGGGAUGACGGCCUUCGGGUUGUAAACCUCUUUCAGCAGGGACGAAGCGCAAGUGACGGUACCUGCAGAAGAAGCACCGGCCAACUACGUGCCAGCAGCCGCCGUAACAC
rnacentral:rRNA from 1 species